rnacentral:lncRNA from 1 species
AACGGCAGGCGAGUCUUCGCGAAUAUCCUAUGUAUAUCUCGAAUAUGCCUACCCGAGCGAUAUGGGAGCGAUAUAUUUUUGCAAAUAUUUUGACGCGAUGGCAGCGCCAUGUGGUAGAAUGAAGAAAUAUUAAUGAAAGCAGUCGUGUUGACGGAUGUCAUUGUCAUUUCAUCCAAGAAUGCAAGGAAAAAAAUUUUAAUUUCAAUUUCAAUGUAUAAUUUUUAUUUUCGCCUAAUUUUUCAGGGAUCAAAAGACGCAAACAAAACAUCUUUAUACGUAUAUUCAAAGAAUAAUUUGUAUUAAGCAAACCUUAGUCAAUACAGGUGAUUCUGGAUAUGCUCUAAGUCAGUUGAUGUUGACAUCCAUCCAAAAUGCAUUACCUGCUACUCUAGAAGAAAUAUUCAUCACAGAAGAACUGAAUCCCCUAUAGAGAGAUGCAAUGGGAUUUUAAAGUGGAGGCAUAGAAUUUUACACUCCAACCAUGGCUGAAUAAAAUAAAUAAUAAUGCAUGCACUGUGCUGCACAAUUUGUGCAUUGGUAUGCAUAAUGUACCCCCUAUUGGUUUAGGUGAUGAAGAAAACAAUCAUAUAGAUAUUGAUUAUGGAAAUGUCAAUGGAAUAAAUAUAGAAGGUAGAAUUCGUGAUAGAGAUCUGCUCACAGGAAGAAGACUCCAACAAAUGCUAAUUCAAAUUAAUUUUAGAAAUUAAUUCAAUAAGUUUGGAAAAAUGUAUGUUCUGUGUUAUUUGUACUUUAUGUAAAUAUUGUUCUGAAGCUAUUUUCUUGUGGCAUUUUUAUGAUUAACUAUUUAGAUGGGAAAUAAGCCACAAUUAAAUUGAAAAAAAUAAUUUUAUUAACGUUUCGACGUCCAAAUCGGGUGUCGUUGUCAAAAUACAAAAGACUACUAAAUUAAACAAAAAUGUUGCUAAGUAAAAAAUUCUUCUAAUAAUUUAUUUAAUCUGACUCAUUUAUAUUGGCAAUUCAGACAUAUAUUAUACAUUUUAAAGUAGAAGACUUUAAAAUGAUAUUGCCAAUAUUUAUGAGUUGCGUUCCUGGGACGACUUAACUGAAAGAUAGUUCAUUCGAUUACAUGAAAUCAACCUCAACUCAAGAAUAUCCAUCACAAAAAAAAUCAUAGCAUGUGAUCUGUCUUUAAAAAGACAACCAAAUGCAAAAAAAGUGAUUUACUAUGGAAUCUCUAACGCGAGAAUUUUACUGUCAUCGUUGCAUUUGGUUGUCUUUUUAAAGACAGAUCACAUGCUAUGAUUUUUUUUGUGACGGAUAUUCUUGAGUUGAGGUUGAUUUCAUGUAAUCGAAUGAACUAUCUUUCAGUAAAUUCGUCCCAGGAACGCAACUCAUAAAUAUUGGCAAUAUCAUUUUAAAGUCUUCUACUUUAAAAUGUAUAAUAUAUGUCUGAAUUGCCAAUAUAAAUGAGUCAAAUUAAAUAAAUUAUUAGAAGAAUUUUUUACUUAGCAACAAAAAAAUUUUGUUUAAUUUAGUAGUAUUUUGUAUUUUGACAACGACAUCCGAGUUGGGUGUCGAAACGUUAAUAAAAUUAUUUAUUUAAUUGUGGCUUAUUUCCUAUCUAAAUAGUUAAUUAUGUAAAUAUGUAGUGUGUUAGCUGUUGUUUUAUGAACAACAUAAAACAUUAUGUGAAAUAUUGACUGUAUGUUAUCCAUGACACAGAACAAAAGUUAAAAUGCAUGUUUUUACAUUUGUAGCCUUUUAAUAACCUUAUCAUAAUAUAAUAAAAUAAAUGCAAAGAAAUUUAUGUCUCAGUAAGUUGGAACCAUGGACGUAUAAAUAAAGAUAUAUCUUUAUUUAUACGUCCAUGGUUGGAACCAUAUGAAAAACUUUUUUAUUAUCAAUUUUAGGAACAAGUUAUUCUUUAUAAAAGCUUUGCAUGAUUUGAAACCUUUAAACAACCAUCAAAUAUAAAAAAUUUUCAGUUGUAUACUAGGUUUGUCAAAAAAUAUGAAUUUUAUUAAAGAGUAAACUACCUUUCAUUUUUCACAAUAUCCAAAAUUAUUAUUAACCCUAGAACCACGAAGUGGGGUCACCUGUGACCCCACCGCUCAAAUUUUUUUGACAUGCGAGUUACUCCGAUGAUACGUAUGUUUUUAUGAAAGUUCACAUUUAGUCGUAAAUGCAGCACAUUUCUGAUUUUUGACCCCACCUGAGGAUAGAAAAGGCUGCUAUAUUUGUGUUUACUGUGCAGAACAUCAAUUUAGUAUUUGUAAAGAUUGUAAAUAAUAUAAAAAUAAACUAUUCAACUUCUAA